rnacentral:misc_RNA from 1 species
UCACUGCUUGCGCAGGCAGUCUCUCUAGAGUCCCCACCAUGACGUGCUGGCAACACGCGACAAGGGUUGCGCUCGUUGCGGGACUUAACCCAACAUCUCACGACACGAGCUGACGACAACCAUGCACCACCUGUGCACGGCCCUUACGGACCCCACAUCUCUGCGGGAUUUCCGUGCAUGUCAAGCCUAGGUAAGGUUCUUCGCGUUGCAUCGAAUUAAGCAACAUGCUCCGCCGCUUGUGCGGGCCCCCGUCAAUUCCUUUGAGUUUUAGCCUUGCGGCCGUACUCCCCAGGCGGGGCGCUUAAUGCGUUAGCUACGGCACGGAUUCCGUGGAAGGAACCCACACCUAGCGCCCACCGUUUACGGCGUGGACUAC